rnacentral:rRNA from 1 species
CCUACGGGUGGCAGCAGUGGGGAAUAUUGCGCAAUGGGCGAAAGCCUGACGCAGCGACGCCGCGUGAGGGAUGAAGGUCUUCGGAGCGUAAACCUCUGUCAGCAGGGAAGAACGGUCACUGUGCUAAUCAGCAGUGAAUUGACGGUACCUGCAAAGGAAGCACCGGCUAACUCCGUGCCAGCAGCCGCGGUAAUACGGAGGGUGCGAGCGUUAAUCGGAUUUACUGGGCGUAAAGCGCUCGUAGGCGGUAUGUCAAGUCAAGGGUGAAAUCCCCGCGCUCAACGUGGGAACUGCCUUUGAGACUGGCAGACUGGAGUGUAGGAGAGGAUAGUGGAAUUCGAGGUGUAGGGGUGAAAUCCGUAGAUAUCUGGAGGAACAUCAGUGGCGAAGGCGACUAUCUGGCACAUAACUGACGCUGAGGAGCGAAAGCGUGGGUAGCAAACAGGAUUAGAUACCCUAGUAGUC